GUGGGGAAUAUUGGACAAUGGGGGCAACCCUGAUCCAGCGACGCCGCGUGAGUGAUGAAGGCCUUCGGGUCGUAAAGCUCUGUUGCAGGGGAAGAACACAAUGACGGUACCCUGCUAGAAAGGAUCGGCUAACUUCGUGCCAGCAGCCGCGGUAAGACGAGGGAUCCUAGCGUUGUUCGGAAUUAUUGGGCGUAAAGCGGGUGCAGGUGGCUUGGUAAGUCAGAUGUGAAAGCCUGUGGCUUAACCCCAGAAGUGCAUUUGAUACUGAUGAGCUUGAGUGCUAGAGAGGCUAUUAGAAGUCCUGGUGUAGUGGUGAAAUACGUAGAUAUCAGGAGGAAUACCGGAGGCGAAGGCGGAUAGCUGGCCAGACACUGACACUCAGACCCGAAAGCGUGGGGAUCAAACAGGAUUAGAUACCCGGGUAGUCC
rnacentral:rRNA from 1 species